GCAAAGGUUCGUCCUGGAACCAAUCCAGAACCUUUAUUUCAGGAGUGUGCUGAUGUGAUUUCUCUGCUGCUGCUGCUGCUGUUGCGUUGUCGCGUCAGACGCGUGUGCGUGAUGGAUGCGGUGCGCGCGUGAGGGGGGCGGGAGCGCGUGGACCGCUCGAGCUCCUCUCGUUCGUUUCCUGACGUGAGAAAGACAAAAGGGGGAAAAAAAAACGGCAGAAGAGAAACGAAUCCGAGCUGGUGGGAAUAUCGAGGCCCGUUCGGUUCCGUGAGGCGGUUGUGCGCGGCGCGGGAGCCGCGGGUCGGUGCAGGCGGAGCAGCGGAGCGCGGGACUCGAGCCCGGGGAGAUCAGACGGGCCUGUCCGACCGUCUCAAGCUUCCUGCUUCAAGAGAGAGAGAAAGACACUAUCAUAUUGAAAGGAUCGGAUAAAACGAGCAACUGGAUGGCGUGUCACUGACCAUGGAAAACCUGAACCUAGGACCAGCUAGACUGAAAUACACCGUACUGUAACGGACAAGGAUUUGACGAACAAAGAAACAAAACAACAAUCCUGCUGGAGUGGAACUAACAUGGGAAAAGACAAAUGUUUGAAUGCAGCUGGAAAAUAUUUGUUGGCAAAGACCUUAAUGGAACAUUACUUGAGAGAGUGCCGAAAAUCCCUGUUACACAGGAAAUAUGAAAAGAAAUCAUGAUCUUGAAGUAUUGAUCUUUCUCAAGCUAUUUCAGUGUCAGUGAAUACAUGUGCCAACUGGAGAAAUAUUUUGGUUUUUUGUUGCAAACCAGUCAAUGAACUAUUAUAAUCCAACUGCAUGGCUGCUACCCACAUCCAUUCGCACAGUUACCAAAUGGCAAAGAGACCUUUCACACUACGGUAUCAAGAUAUUGACAUUCUUGUAAUGAAACGUAAUUGAGUUGUAAUUUUGGAGGAGUAUUUUUACCUCUUGGCUAAUAGACAAUUUGUGACAAUACUAAACUUUCAUUCAUUAUCUUUUUCCAGAGCUCUUUGGAUCUAGUGCCAAACCACAGUGGCAGUUGUGACACCAUUUUUUUUUUAUUAAUUGAGGCUGCUGCAUUUCCCAUCUUUACAUUGUUUACUGUUUACUUUUUAACUCGAGCAGCAAAUUCAGCUCAAAGCUCAGUUUUGAUUAGCAGACAUUUGCUGGGGCAUCCUACAUUGCUGCUACAAAUGUGUCUUGGUUUCUUUAAUGUGAAGCUAAUACUAAACAUUCCAGUUUGCCAUUUGGAUCCUUUUCAUAAGAAAGAUUGCUAAUAACUGCUUUUGCGAAACUUUAAAACACAAAAAUGCAGAAUUUCCCCAACAGUCCAGUCCCUAUUCAUCCAGGGUUUAGCCGAGGAGGAAGUGUCGUCAGUUCCCCGUAUCAACCCCACCCUUCAGACCUUCAGAUAUCCCCCAGAACCUCAGAGGACUAUGCGGCCAUGCAGCAAGCUCAGCCUAACCUGCAGAGUCAUGGGCAGCACCUGCACCUGCGAAGCCAACAGCAUCUUCUACACGCUCCUCCUAUACACAGCUAUGGAUCCAGAAGAUCAACUGGAGAGAUGACGCAGGGAAACACUCACAGUGGAGGAGGAGGGGGGAACUCUUACCGUAAAGACAGUGUGGAUUAUUAUUUUUCAGUGAGUGGGCGAGAAAGAAGCAGAAGAGGCGGAGCAGCGUAUGGUGCGGGAUUUAGGUACACAAACAUGGAUGGGCAUGCACCUCAUCAGUACCAACACUUAUCUGGUUCAGGGUCGUCCUCUGGAAUGAUUUCUCCAUACUCUAUGGAUUAUGGCUCCAGCAGUGGCUCUGCAGUUGGGGGUAGUAAUAGCGGCAGCACUGGUUCCUUUUCUCCUUCCCAGCAAUACAGUAUUGCUCAUAGUACUUCAGUACAGUCAGGUGCUCAAAUGCAUCAACGCCAGCAUGGUCAGAAAUAUUCCCCACAUCAAGGAUUACACCAAGGUCAGCAUCACCGGACAUACCCGCUUUCUGGAAACAGGAUACCCCCUCAGUUUGGACACUAUGCCCCCAUUAAUGCAACCUCAGGCUCUACUGGAAUGUAUAACUCUCCACCGCAAAGAUACGACGUGAUCAGCAGCAGCAGUACAGAUGCCAAAAUGAAUAACUCACCUACUCCGUCUAAUCCAAAUACUCAUACAAGUUCAUCUGCUUCAAACAGCUGUGAGAAUAUGGGACAAAGCUACUCAUCGUCUUCUCAUCCUCCAUAUUCGCCCCAAUCUCAGUCCCUUCAUAAGCAUGCUCCCCAUUCCCAGCGUACCUCUCAGCACACCACUGGAGCAGGUUAUGACCCUUCCCUCAAAAUGCAGCACCAAGGACACCUGCACACCAAACUGCCCCAUUCAUCCGUCUCCUCUAGCCCUGCUCUACCUUCACAACCCCCUCAAGACCUCACCAAAUCUCCUAUGCAUUCCCAAAAUCAACAGGCUAACAUUCAUCAAAACUUCAGCCCCAUAUCUAAUCCCUCCCCUGCUCCGUCUGCUGUACAGUCUCCAAGCUGCAGCUCCUCUUCAUCUCCACUAUUGGGGAGUUCAGAGGGAAAUAGUGCAGCUACUCAUCUGCAGACGUCAUCACACCCAUCUGUUUCAAACACUCGCAGCAGCCAAAGCCAUGGACGUCUUCUGCAGGCUGUACCUCAGCUGAGCCCCACUCCCAAUUCAAAUAGCAGUAUCAGUAGUUGCGGUAGUGGUGUAGGAACUAAAAUGGCUGGUUUGAACCACAGUGCAGGGAUUGGUCAUGCUGCCAUGAGUCAGAACCGAAUGGGACUAGGUCUUCGGGGCGGUCCAGGGGAAGAUGGCUCCCUGUACCCUCAUGACAAACUCUUGCAGGACCCUGGUCUAAAUAGUCUAAAUGCUCUGACCUCUCAAGUGGAAAAUCUACCUAAUACAGUGCAGCACAUGCUGCUAACAGACACCGUGCUGCCUCAGAGGAAGAGCAGAGACAGUGCACAUCACCUUCAGAUGCAGCAGGGAUCAUCGCAGUCUUUACCGAGCAACCAAAACAAAUCUGGAAAUUCCAGUGCCAGUGGUCAGACCUCAGCGAAUGAAGACAGUUCUGAGAUGCUGGAAACAAAAGGGCAUCAACAGUUAGAACGUAAAAGAAUUAGGCAGGCAAGUGGAACAAGCAAUGAAUCUGAGCCACAGAGCUACCCAUCAUCACAGAGUCAGAUGCCAUCAGAACAGGCAUUGAAUCUCCAGGUCAACACUGGAGUCAUUUCAACAGCUUCAAAACAAUCAUCUACUAGAGAGUCUCAAACAAAGACACCAGAAACCCUGACUCCCUCCUCGUCUUCACCACCAUCAGUUCAUCCUUCUGCAGAACACAGCCCAAAACAACAAGUGUAUCCCCCUGCUCCACCAUCUCCCGUUCACUCAGCACAUCCAAACUGUGUGGCAGAACGAGACCUUGGUAAUAAAGAUAAUGGAAUGAAGGGAAGACGAAUCAAAAUGAUAAAAGAUGAAGAUAGUGAAGUUGAAAGUGCAGGUCCUCCCUGUGAUAGAGAAAAUUCAGAGAGUAGACGGUCAGUCUCUCCAUCACAUGAUGAAGCAGAGACAGAUGCACAACGAUUUGAAAACCCGAGUAAAAAUGUGAAUGUUUCAGAGCAGCAUAAUGUUGGAGGUGUUGGGGUUAUUGUCUCUGCUCGUUCUGAACUGAAUAUUGAAUCAAGCAAGCACACUGAAGCCAAACCUCCACGAUAUGGUGUUUCUCAUUACCCAAACAAACACCGCAAUCCAGAGGAGCGACGUGACGUCAAUGUCUUGAGAGAGACAAGAAAUCACAAUGGAGAGGGCGAGAUGUGCAUGGAAACAUAUGUGUCACAAUAUGAUAUUUCCCCUAAACAAGAAUUUGGCCAAAACAUCCCCUCUGUUCAAUCUCACCCAGUGUCAUUUAAAUACAGUAAUCCCGAGGUACAUUACAAUUCCACAAAGAGCAAGGGAAAGUUAGGACUAGGAAGUGGUAUGGGUGCAAACCGAUGCCAGAAUUAUCAGCUGCAGGCCAGCUAUGGGUCUAUUGCCAGGAAGGAGAUUGGGGUUUUUGCUUUGGAGGGGGGGAGAGGUAUCGUCUCAAGAAGUCAGGAUAGCAGUUCUCAGUUUCAGCAAUCGUUUCCAAGUCUGUUGCAAGAAGUCCUCCAAGGUCAUCACUUAGAUCGACGCUAUGGACGGCCCGACCAGACAUCUAGUGCUCAUCAACAACCUCAAGACACAUCCCAGCAACGUUAUCAAACUAGACUACCUUACAGUAUGAUUGAAAAUUUGAGUUCUACUGCAAUGAGCUCUCAAACAGUUAUGGGUGGACUUAAUGUCCAGUUCAAUCAAAUGGCCUCUGGAAAACCACCAAGUUCAAGCCAAAAUAAGGGACCAGAUAAUGAGAUUAUUUUAGGCCCUCCUCAUCCCUCUUGGGAUUCUGAAGCACAUAAGCCCAACGUAACACAUGGGAUCUCCCUAGAAAAAGGCAAAACCAGUCUGUCUCCAAGCCAGUCCACCCACAUGCAGCAGUCUCUAGAUCUCACAACAGGAGCCCCUCCAAAGCACAUUAAUUUGGCUGACUAUUCUUUGCAGCACAGAAAAUCCUCCAGAUAUGGUACCUCUCCUUCUGCUGUGGAACAACUGCUUUUACAGGAAGCUGAGCCAUUGGCAUGCAGUGUAGGUCCCAUCAGUCACACUCAAUCUCAGACAUCCUCCGCCUCAGGUAGGCGCUCAGUAAUCUGUGAUGUGUCCCCUUCUCGGCGAACAACACCAGAAAGAGAGAGAGGGCACUCCGGGACCUCUGGACCUUCAGUCAUUCAGCAGCCGUUUUCUUCUUCUGGAUCAAACGAUCAAGAAUGCUGCAAGGAAGAAAUAAAAGCAAAGAAAGCACAAAACAAGGAGGACUCAUCAAAGAUUGAAACUGCAGGUCAGAACACAGAUGGUUACUGCGGCACGCCACCCAGUAAGGAAUCUAAUAAGCUCCUUCAUGCCCCUGUAGAUGUUGAUUCUGACUUAGAAAAGACCAGCAGAGCCAAAGGCAACAAUGAAGCCACCAGCAACAUGCCAUAUCUUUCACAAAUGUCCUUGAAUCCUUUGUCCUCACCACCGAGACACCAGUCAUUCUCACAGGCAGUUGAUGGUUUCAGAGCAUAUGGCUUCAGUGACACCAUGGAUGGACCAAAAAUUAUCUCCCAUCCUACACCUCAUCGACCAUUCCACACAGUAUCAGCAUAUUCUAAAACCACACCCUCUACUAACAAGUUACAAGUGUUUCCACAGAGUUUACCCCCUCAAGACAGACCUGACUGGACUCCUGACAGGCAAAGGCUAAGAGGUAUGGACAGGCACAUUCUUCAGAGACUCCCUGAACAGAAGUGUAAAUCCCAAACUUCAAGUGAUAUUCUGCCUAGUCAGCAUCACAUAUCUCGGCAGCACUCUUAUCCCAGUUCACACUUUGACAUGAAAAUAUGGGAUGCUUAUCCCGAAAGAGAUGGAGCUGGACAACCACCCACUGCAGUCCCUCGUGAGUAUGUUAAUUCUCAACCAGUCACAAAUGCUGGCCUUAAACUUGGAGAAGAGGACAUCUCAGAUAAGAGUGCAGAAGACACUGCCAAAUCUUUCCACUCAGUGUCUCCAGCUGGUGCUAUUAGUCCUGCUGGGCACACCGGUAAGGCUAUCCAAGGGAUUCAGCAGGGGCAGAGACCAACCAAAACUGGAGCAUCGGCUGAAACCAACCCUUUAAUCAUGAGAAGGAGAGUUAGAUCUUUUAUUUCUCCUAUUCCAGCUAAGAGGCAGCAUCAGGAUGUUCCAGGUCAGCGGCCAGGAUCAGCUUAUCACUCCCCACUCUCUCAGUCCCACUCUGAUUCUAGACUUGCAACCAACAAUUGUUCUAGCAGUACUGAUGCUCAGCCAAAAUUGCCAUCUCCUAAGACACAGCAUUCUAUAUCCAGUGGAAACUCACCUCCUCAGUCUAAAGCAAAGUUUCUUCCCUCAAGAAAGGGUCGUGGUCUAAAACUUGAGGCGAUCGUGCAGAAAAUUACUCCCAGUGUGAAAAAAAAUGACUUCAACAAUAGUCAUGUGGAAUCUGACUUCUUGGAAGUACCUCAUUACACCUCUGACAUACCAGACCCUGAGGGUGGAACGUCAUUUGCUAGUGUUCCACAAGGAGAGGAGGCCUGUUUAUCUUACCUAGAUGAUUCUCAUACUUUAGAGGAUCUUAUGCCAUACAGAGCAGUUGAAGAUGCGUUCUCUUGUGAUUCUCAGUCUCUCAAACCAGGUGCGACAGCUUCUAGCAGUAGUACCCUCAGAAGUUUGCCAAAAGAUUUUGACUUUGGAUUAGGUGCUGCUGGGACUUCAGGGUCCUUGGUGGGUGAAAAUGAUAAGGAUGAUUUUACUUUGUUAGGACCCCUUCCACCAGCUCCUCCACUACCUUGUCCUGUACAGGGAUCCCCUCCUCCAUCUUCAUCUGCAUUGUCUGACAUACAGCAGUUCACAAACACUUAUCAACAGCUGGAAACCCGGCGAAGUGAGCAGUCGGCUGCUAACCUGCUUAGGCAGAAACUGCAGGAGACUGGCAUGGGCUUUGAUGAUUACCCAGGUGGGGAUUACUAUGGGACCACCACUGGCCAUAGUCAGAGCCCUGGUCACCACCUUCUGUCCAGAGCUCCUCAGCACCAGAUGACUUCUCUCAGGUUGACAAGUUCAGAGUCUAAACCGUCAGAAAGCAUUGUGCCCAAAGGCUAUUUCCCAUCAGGGAAGAAAAAAGGUCGCCCAGUAGGCAGUGUGAAUAAGCAGAAACGUGCCCAAGCACAAAUUCAGACUGCAGCAACAAGCAUACCUGCCGCUCCUCUUCCCUCACCCACAGCUGUACCUCAGUCUGUCCCAGUCCCAAACACUGCAGGUGAAGUGCCUGAAGUAUCAACACCACCUGACCAGAAACCCUGUCCAUCUUUGCUCCCUCCUGCUCAAACCCAGGUGGUGAAGGUGGAUGUAGAGAGUGAAGAGACCCAGCCAGAGUUAGAUUUGAAGCCGGCUAAACAUAAACAGAGAAAGGGGAAAGAGGGCAACGAGACUGCUGGCUCAAGUGGCAAUCAGCGAAGGAGAAGGAGAGGAAUGGCUUCCAAAGAGGAGCUGGACACUCAAACGAGUAGUAGGGGAAGCAUGAGCCUGUGUGGAAUAUUUUCAGAUCCCAGGAAUAAUGUUUUUGCUCCUUACAUACAUGUGGAGAAAAAGGUAGCAGAGAUUGGGGCAGUCUGUACAAUUAUUAAUGCAGAGGAUGAAAAAUCAAAAGGUGGAGGUAAAGCUGGUCACUCUGGGGUUGAUGGCCAGUUAAAUACACCACUGUCAUCACAGCUUGUGAGAAAAGAAAAGGAAAAUGAAAAAACAAAAGAAAAUUGGGUUUCAGAGCAAGUUGAUUCUGCCUUGCAAUCAGGAAAGACACUUCCUACAUCUGGAUAUGUUCUGCAAGGGCCCGUGACAUCAGAGACUGGGCACACUGGUCGCCUGUUAUGCUGUCUUUGCCAGAAAUGGGCCAACUACAAACAUCUCGGGGAUCUCUAUGGUCCUUUUUACCCAGCUGAAUAUGCAGCCAAGCUCCCUAAGAAUCAACCUCAAGUCCGGCAAACCUUGUCCCAGCAUGGGGCAGCUACCACAGGUUCCAGUGUGACAUCCAUCCCAACAGACUCGACUCCCCAGGAUACAAUAUUACGAGACUCACAAAAUGUCAAGUCAUCUACUGAUAGCGAUUGCACAGUAAGUCAGGCAACAAACCCAACAUCCCCAGCCACCACCAUUGGCACUGUCUCUCCCAGCAUGGGUGAAGAAAUGGCUUUUCUCCAUGCUAAGACCAGCAGCGUUACCUCAAAGGUAACUGCCCACACCUGGGAUCCGGCUGCAGAACUUGUGAGUGGGCUGGGUACUUCAAAUGUCCAAGAACUGGAUAGUGAAAUCAUACUGAAGCAGUUGCAUGUCGAAAGUUCACAACAAAGGCCCCAACACAGAAAACUGACAUCCCAUCCACGCUUCAAAAGAAGACAUAAGUCCAGUGAAGAUUUACCUCGAACUGUCCCCAUCAACAGCAAAGCCUCCCUGCCCUUCCAGCCUCCCCCACCCAGCCUGGACUCUCUGGGUCCCAUGGCCCAACUGGCCCAGCUCCCACUAGUGCCUCUGGACCCUGAGGAGCUGUGGGUGCACGAGGGCUGCAUCGUUUGGACCAGUGGCGUAUACCUGGUCAAUGGGAGACUGUAUGGCCUUCAGGAGGCACUAGAUGGUGCUAGAGACACAAGCUGCUCUCAUUGUGAGAUGGUGGGCUCCACCCUUGGCUGUUACAGUAAAGGCUGCACCCUGAGGUACCACUACCUUUGUGCCAUAGAAGCAGAUUGCUCUCUAAAUGAAGACAACUUUUCUCUGAGGUGUCCAAAGCACAAGAGCAACCGAAUUGUCAAGCCUGGAGCCGUCUAUCUGGAGCAGUCAGAGAGAGGAUGAACACACACUCCACACGAGCCACGCACAGAUCAGACACCAGACAGAUCCGCGCCUGACUGUGCGAGCUUCAAGUGGGAAUGCCUUCAUGCUUCCAGACGGGAGUUACCAUGGUUACUGAUGGAUACAUUUUGGAAUGUAAAGUUCAAAGACUUUUUCUAAAGAACACUAAUAACCGGGAAAACUGGCAUGUCGCUGAUGGAGGUUUUCCAUUUAUCGCCUGUUCUGUGGUGGACAGAAGAUGGACCUUCCUCUGAGAUGAAGAAACGCUAACUGCCUUUUAAAAACAACAAUUCCGUUUGACGUUUGAGUCUGCUGUCGUCAUCUUUUAUCUUUGUUAUAGUUCAUUCUGCUACAAACGGAGCGGUGGAGCUCCGCCUUGGGAACAAGAGAACGGGACCAUGUGGACAGAAGGAAAGAGAGAAAGAGGCAGUGUAUUUACACCAGUUAUAUGUAGUAUUUUAUCAUAACCCAUAUUAUCAUUAUUUUAAACAUCACUAUUGUUUUAAUCAGUAUUUUAGACCGAAUUCUGAGCGAUUGAUGGAAUGUCCGUAUCAGGAGGACCCGUUAUGACAUCAUACUCGGUGACAUCACGUGGAACGGAAGUCCAGUUGCCACAGAGACAUUGUUGUCAUGGAGACGCACAUAUAUUGCCUUCGAAGAAAUGAAGUUGUUCAGACUAGAUAAAGAAGGUGAAAGUGAUGAAGGUGGGCUGGACAGAGAGAAGUGGAAGAGCUUGUGUAACAUGAGAGGAAAAACUGUGUCUAUAUGAGCCCAAUCAACAGAGAGUAAAAUGAGUCUGAGUCACUAUAUAUCAACUCUAGCUGGAUUUAAACACUCAGUUCAGAUCAGAGGAAGUUCUCAACCACAGGAGGAGCUGAUGAUGAUUAAAGGAGGAGCUGUAACUAUAUAAUGAAGAGAAAGACUGACAGAAACAGAAAAUGGCUGAUCAGUGUGAUCUGUGUCUGCUGGGACUGAUCAUUCUCUCUUCACUUCUCACAGGUAAAGAAAUCUGGAUUUUCUCUAAAGACAUUUAGUGGAAUUAGUCUGGAAAGAGUUGAUUUGAACAUGCUCAGUUUAUUCUUGCACACAUUCACGUUGUGAUCUCAGAGUUGUGUAUUGAUACAUACAGAUCAUACUGUAUUAUUCCUGAUACUGGACAUAGAGUCACUCAAACAUCUGAUGAUCAACAAUUAUCUUCAUAUUCAGAGAUUUCAACAGCUACAUGAUCAAGA